rnacentral:miRNA from 12 species
CCUCGUCAGUCGCUCAGUAGGUA